rnacentral:tRNA from 1 species
GGGCGGUUAGCUCAGCGGGAGAGCACUGCCUUCACACGGCAGGGGUCACUGGUUCGAACCCAGUACCGCCCACCA